rnacentral:rRNA from 1 species
ACGCUCGACACCUAGGAGGCAGCAGUGGGGAAUAUUGCACAAUGGGGGAAACCCUGAUGCAGCGACGCCGCGUGAGCGAAGAAGUAUUUCGGUAUGUAAAGCUCUAUCAGCAGGGAANAAACUGACGGUACCUGACUAAGAAGCACCGGCUAAAUACGUGCCAGCAGCCGCGGUAAUCUGGAGCGGGCUGGCAAGGC